CCUUCUUCCUUUUUUGGGCUCUGUUGGGUUGUGAUCUAGGUUUUUUCAUGUUAGGACUGCGUGAAGAAAAAAAUAAGUAAAACAUUAGAAAUUAUGACCACAUAAAAUGCAACUCUACAACAAUAUAUAUACUCAUGGAAACGCUUAACAACCUGUUUAAUAACUUUUUUUUUACAUGCUCGUAGUUGUCUUUAGUCUUAUACAAUUGAUCUGACAAGGUACGAUACUGGAAAUAGAAAAGAUAAGUGAGACACUCAAGGUUACAGUAACUUAAGCAAAUUAUAGAUUAACACUUGAAAUAGACCAAUGCCUUAGUUAAUACACACAAAAACAAAGAUGCAAUUGUGCAUUGUAGGCAUUGUAAUCUGUAGCAUAACGGUUAAGAAAAGACAACCUGACAGUUGCCAUCUCCCAUGACAAUGCGCUCUGCCAUACUUUUGAACUUCAAAUUAUUAAUGAAACUCGCAAAAGCUUACCACAAACAAAUUCUAGCAUAAUCUCUAUUUCGUGACAAGGUCAUGAGGAGAAUAUUAACAAGGAUUUAGUUUCCAUAACUCCAUAUUCAAUAACCAACCCUCAUUCUAUAACUACAGAUGUCAUCAUUCAUGCGGUUUAAGAUUUUCUUUCUCAAGUAACUAUUCAUAUUAGAAAGUAUGAAAAGAAUUAGCAUGUAUAGAACAAUCUUAAGAGUCAGAACCAUCAUAUUAAUAGAUUGUCUUUGCAUCUGACAAAGACAUGCUUAAGUCUUCUAACCAACCAUUUCAUAUGGUGAAUGAUAUGACAAGGUACAAUAGUCAUCCACUUGUGAAGUAAUGAACUUGAAACCAAAAAAAUGAUUACAUUGACAUUAGUAGUAGAGAUGCCAAAAUCAAAAUUCUAUUUCUCUACACGGACAACAUCAGUAAAAAGCUUCAAUAAAAAAAAACAGUAGAGAACUAUUUUCUAAUCACUGCUCUACAUAGCCAAAUCAAACUCCAACCAACAAAACGAGGAUAACAUUAUAAGUUAAAUGAGAUGAAAUGAAACAUGCUUGGAUGCUGUAAUUUAGGAAAUGAGUUGAAAAGCUUUAUCAUAUUAUAUAAUUGCAUAAGAGGAUUCAACACAUGAAUAUUGAUUUUUUAAAGCACAAUAUAUCCGAAAACGAAAUCAUAUUACUUCCAAGCCAGCUUUAGAACACAAACUCCAACAUUGCCCAAUAUUUGAAUCGCUAUUAACUAACAACCAACAUCAAAGGUCUUAAAAAUGACAAUAAAAAUUCAAUAUAAGUAAAACAUCCUUAAACUAGCAACCAACAUCAAAGGUCUUAAAAAUGACAAUAAAAAUUCAAUAUACAUCCUUAAACUAGUAAGGAUUCUUCAUCCUUUCAAGCAUAUCUCUACUUCUCAAAUGAGUUUGGUCUUCUCUUCUUGCCAAAACCAACCACUGCCACAUCAACACAGCAUACAAGGAAUCAAAAACAAAAUCCAAAAUAUGAUUUCCUACAAAACAUAAGUUCCUAAAGACCCAUAUCACCAUCUAUGGAGAAUGUUAUCAAACAAGAUAUAUCACUAUAUAUCAUAAUCAAAUAUUACCAUUUAUCACAACCAGAUCAAAAUUAGUAAAUCAUGAACGAAUUCAAUAUUUACAACAAAAAACUUAACUGAACAUUAUUUAUCACUUAGUUCCUCACACAAUGAAACUUAGUUUCUUACACAAUGAAAUGAACUAAUGACCACCAUUGACAAAACACUAAACUUAAGCAAAAACACAUGAAAAACUCUAGUGCCUAUAAGUGUAAACCCAAACAACAAAAGUGGAAAGUUGAAUAACAAUUGUCAAUCGAACGUUACAAUAACAACUUAGCCAUGGUCAACUAGUCAAUCCAAAGAAAAUAUAACCAAAAUACAAUACAUGAACAAAUUUCUUACCACUUCAAAUGCCACAAAUUGUUGUCACUGCUUCAGCUGUCAAAAAAAUCAACCCAUCUUGCAAACAUCUUCUGUUUAUUUUCAUGGUCUCUUGCUGAUCUCUCAUAAUCAAUCUGUCAAUCAUUUUCAACCUUUGGAUUUACCUCCUCACUCGUUUUCUCCUCUUCACUUGACUUCUUGGAACCUCCCUUGUGAGACACAAAUCCCCGCACGCAUAGGUGGGUCAACACUCAAUAAGUAUACCAAAUCCCAAAUCAAUCCCACCAAAAUACAAUGGUCUUUAAACCUCUGACGAUAAACCAAUUUUGUAGAAGUGGGGUUUGAACAACAUCAUCAACUAGAGUCACAUAUUUAGAGUCUUCUUUGAUAUAAUACUUGGUGGGAUCCCAUAGAAUAUAGACGUGAGGUGCUUAAUGAGGGAACUUAGCCAAGCUCAUAUGAAUUUUGACCUUAUACUUCACUGAUAAGAGAUGGGGAAAUAACCCGUCACAUAAGGGGUCGGAGCAGAAACGUUACCCACCUACACAUGAACCUCCAACCUAGAAAAAUUACCAAACAACUGCUUUAGGGCAUUUUGGAGCCGCCCAUCAGUAAUCGUAAGAGGCAUGUUAAAAGACACAUGAUAAGUAUUCCUACGACGCUUUUUAAAGGGAAUUCAUGAACCUAACUCCUGAGAUAACUCAAUUAGUAGGUUGGCUAGAGUGGAGUGAUGACUCCACCGUGUAAGAUAAGAAAUUUGAACCUUCCCACAUGGGCUCACCAUCUGAUGGUUCAUCACCACAACCUCAUCAUGUUUUGCGAGCACGUAGACAUCCGGGGUUGAUAUGGGGAAAUUAGGAGUCAACCAGCCUACUACAGCUAACUUAAGGUUGGUUCUAGGCUUAAUAAAUCUAGAAAAACCAAUCAGAGUCAUUUUGGAUCCGUCCUCAUAGCUGAAGUUUGCAGUUGCUAUGUGAAAAUGAUGCACUGCUAAAUAUACAAAUUGACUCUCAACCUACGACAAAUUCGAAUAAGAUACUAUUUCUCGAUUUUGAUAAACAAAAUUACGCACUCCAACAACGCUGUUGUUAGUCAUUUUGAGAAGAUAACAGAGAAGGAGGUAAGAUUUUUGGGUUUGGGUUUAAGAGGAGAAUUGAUGAAUGUCUAAAGGGGCUUUUAGGCUUACACCCUAAAACCCCAACCAGAGAACUGUCGCAACACUAAUAAACCGUAAACAAGAAAAUGAUAGACUGCAAACUGAGCUCACCGGAGAAUUUCUUAUUUUCAUUUUUGUAGUUAAUCACAAUCAUGGGACUGUCACCUACAUCUCGAACCUUAAAAGGUCAUAACUUCAUAUCACUCUUAACACAUGCAUCAUUGAAUUUCCUAUCAAUCAAUCGCUUUACAUAUGAAAGAUUAUAAAUAAUAAUAAUAAAAAAAAACAUACAUCAUUAGUUACGAGGAAAAUUCUUUCAUAACUUCCAGCCUUGAACUUUUGUCUCUUC
rnacentral:lncRNA from 1 species